rnacentral:lncRNA from 1 species
AUAAAUUAAAUUAAAUUACUAGAUUAACAUUGGCAUGAUAUAAAUUCAAAAGCUAAUAAGCAUUGUAUAUAAUUCAUAUCAAGAUGCAUAUUUUUAAAAAAAUUGAAAAAAUUCAAUUGGUUCCUGAAGUAGUGGUAUAGCAAAACAAUCCUGCACCUAAAUUAGAUUAAACUUGACAAGAGAAUAUUGAAAUGAGAGGACAGAUAUCAAAAUAGGCUGCAACUUCUGCCUGCAGAAUUGAGAAAACAUUCUGCCGACAUAAUGAGAACCAGUUUUUAUCAUUGCUCAAAAAUCUGAAAUCUACUUCAAAACCGAACAUUAUAACCCUAAUUUAUAAUAAGCACACAAUCCCGCUAAAGUAAGAUCUUUAUUACAAAUCAUAAUAGAAAAAGGAAUUAAAUAUAACCAGAACAAAGUUUUAUAAUAAAUCCUAAUACAAAGGAUUCAACUAUUCUAAAUAAAGUCUUGACUUGAUUAAAAUAUUCUUAAUUUGAAAAUUCAUAUAGUAUCAUGAACAGUGAUCCAUCACAUUAACAUGAAGUGCAACUUUCUAAAAAUUCUGAAACUUUUGCUCUUGCAUCAACCAAAAAAAAUGAAAAAGAAAAAAACCAUUGGUAUUAAAUGUCAUCUAAUUAGAAAUCAAUGCAAUCUCAUGGAUCCUCAAAUCAGAUCAUUAGCUGUACUUCUAAUACUGUUUAAAGUUAUGUCUCAGUCAAUACCCCAAACCCAGGUCAUAUUACAACAAGCAGUAAAUCAUGUUUAAACUGAAAUUCAUGAAAUUUAAACCAAGCAUGGCAAUGAAUACUGAUGGUUUUUGAGAAGGGUAGAUUACAUAAAAAUGUACAGCCCUGAACCAGACUAGUCUUUUUGUCCAUAUUUAUCUCCUUUAUUCAUAUUCAAAUUCUGGCAUUAGUUCUACCUCCACGUUUCUGAUGCCUCUGUUACACUAAUGAGCUAUAAGAGAAGGAAUUUAAAGAAUAAAAACAGAAUCUAGUUCUUUUUCAUUGAAAAUGGAACAAAAAUCCCAUCCUUCAUUCAAAUAUAAGUUUAUCCUUGCUCUAUACAGAGAGA